rnacentral:lncRNA from 1 species
GAUCAUUUGAGCAUCAGCUACACUAAUAAUAAGGAAGCAACCAACAUUUCCUGGUUUAACUGCGGAGGGUUGGUGUGUGGCUCCUUAGCAUCGGGACUGAAGCGGCAGAUGCUCUACUUUUUUCGCCCUAUAUUCAAAAAGUUAGAUCUUCCAUUUUUGUUUCUCUUUUUUCCAAAUUUUCCAUUUUUCUUUUAAUUUCUUUUCUCGUUUGCUUUAAUUAUUUAUAAAAUUAAUUGUUUUAUUUAUAAAAAUAUUUCUUGUAUUUGGUAAUAAAUUAAUUAUCAUAAACCCCUGAUUACUGUCGGAUAGAAUUCUCAAUAAAGCGUUUUUCAUCAAAAUCAACCCAAACUUUCACUUGAAGUAUAUAUAUUUUAUUUUUUAAAUUUCAAUUUACGUAUUAUAUUUUGUCAAUUACCUACCGUAUAUAAAAUUGAAUUAUUUUCUCCAUAUUAUAAUGAUGUGAUACAUAAUUAUUAUGAAAUGAAUAUGUUUGCUUUAUGCGACUCCCCCCCGCACACGGACCUGUCAUCCAAGCGGGGAGCCUAUUCAUAUGUAUUUAUUUUAUGUAAAUUUUAUAGUAUUUUAAAUGAAUAAAUACAUUUGAUUUGAUUUUGACGAUA